UACAGAGGGUGCAAGCGUUGUUCGGAAUUACUGGGCGUAAAGCGUGCGUAGUCGGUAUUGAGAGUCACGGGCGAAAUCCCAAGGCUUAACCUUGGAACUGCCUGUGAGACCUCAGUACUAGAGUGUGAGAGGGGAUAGUGGAAUACCCAGUGUAGCGGUGGAAUGCGUAGAGAUCCGGAAGAACACCGGUGGCGAAGGCGGCCUGCUGGGCAGUUGCUGACACUGAGGCGCGACAGCGUGGGGAGCAAACAGG
rnacentral:rRNA from 1 species